AUGAUCCUGAUGUUUAAGGAUACAGCCAAGUGGAGAAUCUGUUGGGAUACAUGUACUUCUCCCCAUUUUGAUCUGAAGAAAGAAUAAAGGAGAAGAGAGAGAAGAAACACAACCCUUAGGAGCAGUCUCUACAGCACCCAAACGUGAUCAUCAACAGACUCUGUACCACCCGAGCAUGACUAAACGGUUCCAGUGAUGGAAACAGUGGACCAGGGCUACAUCAUCAUGGAACACAAUAGUAGGGCAGAGCUCCUGCAGUAUAUCCAACAGACCAACUGCCUGCAUGAGAAUGAGGCCCAUGGAGUAUACAAGCAGAUUGUGUGUGCCAUCAAAUACUGCCACAAAAAAGGCAUGAUACACACACACACGUGAAAUCUAACAUCCUGCUGCAUGCCCAAGGAUACAUCGAGAAGAGCGACUUUGGCUUUAGCUUCAGAUUCUGAUAGAGUUGUGUGCUGUUUUUUCAGUCCAUGCCACCAAACUCUUCCUGUACCACAAAUACAAUGGCCUGAGUGUCCCCCUGGACUACAUGGUCACAGCUGCCUUCCCAUUUAAAGGGAAGACAUUUUUGCAGCUGCAGCAGCAGGUCCUGCACCCAAGGUAUGGCAUACCAUCUUACCUCUCUGUGGAACUGCAAGGCAUCAUCAUUCAAUUACUCACCCUCAAGCCUAGCGAGAAGACUGCCCUGGAGAACAUCGUGGGGAGCCUGUGCCUCAGCCAAGUCUGACAAACGACAGUACUCAAAAACUUUGAAGACCUAUCUCUGGACCAAGCCAAACCCGGCCAAUGUGCUGAUCUAAUCAGGGAUGCAACCUCACCAUCUGUGAAAGGGACAAACAACUGCCUGACCCA